AACGAACGCUGGCGGCAGGCUUAACACAUGCAAGUCGAGCGCCCCGCAAGGGGAGCGGCAGACGGGUGAGUAACGCGUGGGAAUCUACCCAUCUCUACGGAAUAACGCAUAGAAACGUGUGCUACUACCGUAUAAGUCCUUCGGGAGAAAGAUUUAUCGGAGAUGGAGGCGGCCACGUUGGACUAGCUAGUUGGUGGGGUAAAGGCCUACCAAGGCGACGCUCCAUCGCUGGUCUGAGAGGAUGAUCCGCCACACUGGGACUGAGACACGGCCCAGACUCCUACGGGAGGCAGCAGUGGGGAAUAUGGGACAAUGGGCGCAAGCCUGAUCCAGCCAUGCCGCGUGAGUGAUGAAGGCCCUAGGGUUGUAAAGCUCUUUCACCGGUGAAGAUAAUGACGGUAGCCGGAGAAGAAGCCCCGGCUAACUUCGUGCCAGCAGCCGCAGUAACAC
rnacentral:rRNA from 1 species